UACGUAGGGGGCAAGCGUUAUCCGGAUUUACUGGGUGUAAAGGGAGCGUAGACGGCGGCGCAAGUCUGAUGUGAAAGCCUGGGGCUCAACCCCGGAACUGCAUUGGAAACUGUGCUGCUGUAGUGCCGGAGAGGUAAGCGGAAUUCCUAGUGUAGCGGUGAAAUGCGUAGAUAUUAGGAGGAACACCAGUGGCGAAGGCGGCUUACUGGACGGUAACUGACGUUGAGGCUCGAAAGCGUGGGGAGCAAACAGG
rnacentral:rRNA from 1 species